rnacentral:rRNA from 1 species
GUAACGCGUAGAAUCUGCCUUCAGGAGGGGGAUAACGACUAGAAAUGGUCGCUAAUACCCCAUAUGCCUAUGGGUGAAAUGAGUUUUGCCUGAAGAUGAGCUCGCGUCAGAUUAGCUAGUUGGUGAGGUAACGGCUCACCAAGGCGACGAUCUGUAGCUGGUCUGAGAGGAUGAUCAGCCACACUGGGACUGAGACACGGCCCAGACUCCUACGGGAGGCAGCAGUGGGGAAUUUUCCGCAAUGGGCGAAAGCCUGACGGAGCAAGACCGCGUGAGGGAUGACGGCCUAAUGGUUGUAAACCUCUUUUAUUCGGGAAGAUAAUGACGGUACCGAAUGAAUCAGCCUCGGCUAACUCCGUGCCAGCAGCCGCGGUAAUACGGAGGAGGCAAGCGUUAUCCGGAAUUAUUGGGCGUAAAGCGUCCGUAGGUGGUUAUACAAGUCAGCUGUUAAAGAGUGGUGCUUAACACCAUAAAGGCGGUUGAAACUGUAGGACUAGAGUUUGGUAGGGGUUGCGGGAAUUCCCAGUGUAGCGGUGAAAUGCGUAGAUAUUGGGAAGAACACCGGUGGCGAAAGCGCGCGACUGGACCUGAACUGACACUGAGGGACGAAAGCUAGGGGAGCGAAAGGGAUUANAUACC